GGUGGGCACUCUAAGGAGACUGCCGGUGACAAACCGGAGGAAGGUGGGGAUGACGUCAAGUCAUCAUGGCCCUUACGGCCUGGGCUACACACGUGCUACAAUGGUCGGUACAAAGGGUUGCCAAGCCGCGAGGUGGAGCUAAUCCCAUAAAACCGAUCGUAGUCCGGAUCGCAGUCUGCAACUCGACUGCGUGAAGUCGGAAUCGCUAGUAAUCGUGAAUCAGAAUGUCACGGUGAAUACGUUCCCGGGCCUU
rnacentral:rRNA from 1 species